rnacentral:rRNA from 1 species
AUUGAACGCUGGCGGCAGGCUUAACACAUGCAAGUCGAGCGAGCGGCGGAAGGGUGAGUCAUGUCUGGGAAACUGCCUGAUGGAGGGGGCUAACUCCUGGAAACGGUAGCUAAUACCGCAUAACAUAAGAUGUGGCGCGAUGGGAUUAGCUAGUGGGUGGGGGAAUGGAUCACCUAGGCGACGAUCCCUAGCUGGUCUGAGAGGAUGACCUGCCAACCUGGAACUGAGAUACGGUCCAGACGCCUACGGUAGGCAGCAGUGGGGAAUAUUGCACAAUGGGCGCAAGCCUGAUGCAGCCAUGCCGCGUGAGUGAAGAAGGCCUUCGGUUUGUAAAGCACUUUCAGCUAGGAGGCGUUACUCGCAGAAGAAGCCCCGGCUAACUCCGUGCCAGCAGCCGCGGUAAUAC